rnacentral:rRNA from 1 species
UGCCAGCCGCCGCGGUAAUACGAAGGGACCUAGCGUAGUUCGGAAUUACUGGGCUUAAAGAGUUCGUAGGUGGUUGAAAAAGUUAGUGGUGAAAUCCCAGAGCUUAGCUCUGGAACUGCCAUUAAAACUUUUCAGCUAGAGUAUGAUAGAGGAAAGCAGAAUUUCUAGUGUAGAGGUGAAAUUCGUAGAUAUUCGGAGGAACACCAAUUGCGAAGGCAGUUCACUGGACCGUGAUCGACGCUGAGGAGCGAAAGCUAGGGGAGCAAACAGGAUUAGAUA